UGCCAGCCGCCGCGGUAAUACGGAGGGUGCAAACGUUGCUCGGAAUCAUUGGGCGUAAAGCGCGCGUAGGCGGUUAUGCAAGUUGGGUGUGAAAGCCCUGGGCUCAACCCAGGAAGUGCACCCAAAACUGCAUGACUUGAAUCUCGGAGGGGAGCAGAGAAUUCUCGGUGUAGAGGUGAAAUUCGUAGAUAUCGGGAGGAAUACCAGUGGCGAAGGCGCUGCUCUGGACGAAGAUUGACGCUGAGGUGCGAAAGCGUGGGGAGCGAACAGGAUUAGAUA
rnacentral:rRNA from 1 species